UGGCAGUGAGGAGAUUGAAAGGCCGGUCUUACGGCUGCCUCCCUAUCUCCCAGAUAUGAUGAGUCCCUUGUCCUCUGGGAGUGGGAUGGUAGUAGCAUGAUGUGUUUCGGCGAAAGGUUCUCUGAGCCAU